GAUGAACGCUGGCGGCGUGCCUAAUACAUGCAAGUCGAGCGAACAGACGAGGAGCUUGCUCCUCUGACGUUAGCGGCGGACGGGUGAGUAACACGUGGAUAACCUACCUAUAAGACUGGGAUAACUUCGGGAAACCGGAGCUAAUACCGGAUAAUAUAUUGAACCGCAUGGUUCAUUAGUGAAAGACGGUUUUGCUGUCACUUAUAGAUGGAUCCGCGCCGCAUUAGCUAGUUGGUAAGGUAACGGCUUACCAUGGCAACGAUGCGUAGCCGACCUGAGAGGGUGAUCGGCCACACUGGAACUGAGACACGGUCCAGACUCCUACGGGAGGCAGCAGUAGGGAAUCUUCCGCAAAGGGCGAAAGCCUGACGGAGCAACGCCGCGUGAGUGAUGAAGGUCUUCGGAUCGUAAAACUCUGUUAUUAGGGAAGAACAAAUGUGUAAGUAACUAUGCACGUCUUGACGGUACCUAAUCAGAAAGCCACGGCUAACUACGUG
rnacentral:rRNA from 1 species